rnacentral:tRNA from 1 species
UAGGAUAUGGUGUACAUUGGUAGCACGAUGGAUUUUGAAUCCUUAGGAGCGGGUUCAAGACCUGCGAUUCUAG